rnacentral:rRNA from 1 species
UACGGAGGGAGCUAGCGUUGUUCGGAAUUACUGGGCGUAAAGCGCGCGUAGGCGGCUUUUUAAGUUAGAGGUGAAAGCCCGGAGCUCAACUCCGGAACUGCCUUUAAAACUGCAUCGCUUGAAUCCAGGAGAGGUGAGUGGAAUUCCGAGUGUAGAGGUGAAAUUCGUAGAUAUUCGGAAGAACACCAGUGGCGAAGGCGGCUCACUGGACUGGUACUGACGCUGAGGUGCGAAAGCGUGGGGAGCAAACAGG